UUAACCCCAUGUAUAUGUAUGUAUGUAUGAAUAUAAGACUUGAUUAUUUUUGUUUGAUAAUUCUUUUAAAAUUUCUUCAGUUUGUUAUAGUAUUAAUUAUGAAUUGUACCGACUAUUGGAGGUCAUCUACAGUCUCUGUGUGUGUGUGUAUAUAUAUAUAUAUAUAUAUAUAUAUAUAUGUAUAUAUAUAUAUAGGCCAAUUAUUCAACAAAGCACGGCAUUGUCAUUUUCAAAGGCACAGAUUGUGCUUCCUCAAGACUGAACAAAGGGUAAACUCCUUAAUUAAUAGUUUCCUAAAUUAAUGCCCGUUUAUGACUUGUAAGUAUAUUUAAUGGAUACGCAAUUAGUCCUACAUGAAAUUAGUGCUUUGAUUGACAUAAUAAACUUUCAUUUACACUUAUUUCUCAUGGAAAUUUCACUAAAAUGACCUAUGAUUAAGUAACUACAGGCUAAACUGAAGGAACAUUAUGUCAUAACAUAUUUAAUAUGCUUACCACUAGCAUAGUGUAAGAAUUAACGAACACAUUUCACGGUUAAUUGGUCAUUUGAUUUGCAUGAUCAAUAUUGUUUUGCAGCAGUAAUCUAUUUAUUUGUUUAUUUUAAUUAACGCCGCUCAAACAUUGGUUAUCAAUUGAUGAACAACCCUUUGGAGUUGUAGCUAGCUCAUGCUUUCAUACACACUUACACAGUUAGAUCGAAAACACCUCUACCAUUAAUUGGUCAUUUGCAUAAUUAUUGUUUUGCAACAGUAAUUUAUUUAUUAUUAUUCUGUUCUUGGAUACUUUUUACCGGCUCAAACAUUGGUCACCAAUUCAAUGAACCCUUGGAGUUAUGAGAAGACUACGUAUAUCAUAUCCUUCAUAUGCUUGUAGAAUCUGGAUUAAAGAAGAGGGUGUUAGCUAUUUUAACUAAAAAUAAUCACAAUUAUUUAAUUAUAUAUGGGGAUUGAGUCUAAUUAAGAUAUGGGAAUGAAGACCAAUCAAACUGUUGAUGCUAGCCACAAAAUCUGUAAGGGUGUGUAUGGAUAAAAUAGUUAGCUGAAGAGAGGUAAAUGAAAGGUACUAAUAUAACUAUUAUUCUAGUUGCUUAGCCUUAUCUGUGUAAUGUGUAAUGGACCAUAUAUCCAGUGGUGUAGGUAUAGUUAUGGGCCUCAGCUGGAAGUGCACGUAUAAGAGUGAGACAUUAUAGUAUUGAGGUUUGGCUCAGUGAUGAACAUAUAUGAUUCAUUUCACACUAAUGAAGAAACUGAAUUUCACUCUUUGAGCUAAGGUAGGUGGUCUGUGAAUACACACACGCAUGUCUGGCCAGGGCUUGAAGAAAGUAAAAAAGGGAAGGAUCCUGGGAAAAGUAAAAGCAUGAUUGUAGCAGCUGAAGGAUUAUCAUUAAUAUAGCCACUGGGGAAUCUCAUACAACAAAAAGGAAUGGACCACUCUCUCUCUCUCUCUCUCUCUCUCUCUCUAUCUCUAUCUCUCUCUGCUUUCAAUUGGCUUGUAGGGAAUAUGGUAUACGGUCAAAGCAGGUCAAAAGCUUACAAAAGGACAUCAUUGGUCAGGCUAUUGCAUGUAGGACCACCCACAGCCUAACACCCUCCUGGGGAAAUCAAUUCUGGGAUUUUGUGUUUUUCUCUUCUUCUUCCCCCUCAACAACAUUUCACUGCACUUAAUUGCAAUCUUUUUUUAUUACUACUAUAACCAUUGCAAUCAACCCAAUAUUUUCUUUCUAAAUGUUUAAAAAUAAAGUAUAAUUUCAUUUCGUAUAAUUAACUUUUAAUUGGCAUUUUCCUUUCUCAUGUGAACAAUUCAUACCAGUAAUAUGUAAAAGGAUCUUUGUUAAUUAUAAGUAUCUUAGAACACUAAUUAGUUAACAUUAACCUUAAUUUCCUUAACCAAUUAGAAAAGCUUGGGCAAUUAAUUAAGGUAGGAACUGCAAAAUAAACUGCACUUAUAUUGGAGAAAGAAAGAGAUGGAGAUAGAGAGACAGAGAAUAAAAUUAUUAGAGUAAUCAUAUGAUGUAAGGUGCUGGCUAGGCCCGCUUCCUCAGUGUUUGAUGCCUCUGCUGGGGUGUACUCUUCAAGUCUGAGAAAGUAGAUUCUAUACUAUUCCUGUCUCACUUUCGCCAUGGGAAUAUCAUUUGCUUUUUUCUUAUGUCCAAGGAUGAAUAAUAAUGAAUUUCACUUUACAUCUUCCUUUCUCUAUGAUUCUUCUCAGUUUAAUAAGUUUUCCUAGCUACCUGGCCUUAAGAAUUUGUAAUUUUUUUGUUCAUAUUUUUUUAUAUCAUCGAUCAUGCCCCAUGUCAGGUUCAACCAUUCAAAUGAAUGAUGCACAACAAAGUGUGGACAAGAAUGAGUAAUUUUUUUGUUCACAUUUUAAUUUCUUACCUUCUAGUUUUAAUUAAGAGAGAGAUUUCAGUUUCACGUUGAAGUUCAUUUAUAUAUGGACAAGAAUGAUGCACAACAAAGUAUGUUGUGUUUUAGUUUUAAAUUUAAUUUCAUGUAAGUUUUUUCUUCAUGAAGUCUUUAUUCUUAUCACUAAAGGGAAAGCAGUUUAGUUUGCCGAAGCAUCGUGGUGUUGUUGUCCUUUUAAGUUUUAAAUGGGUAUGAUGAUUGUGCAGAAAAAAAGGUUUCUGUAAAUUCUUGAAGUAGAAAAUAUAUUUGCAUCAUGUAUGACGCUAAAAACUCACCAGAUAUAGAAAAUUUUGUAAGAUUCUUCGUUGCUAUAUUUUUGCAAACUGUAGUAUCUGGCCCCCUGUCUUGUUACGUAGGAAGUAUCAUUAUUAUGUUGCUAGCUAAAUGGUAGAAUAAGACUCUUCCAGAUUCUUUC